GCUGGCGGCACGCCUUAUACAUGCAAGUCGAACGGAGUAGCAAUACUUAGUGGCAGACGGGUGAGUAACAUGUGGGUAUCUUCCCUUUGGUGAGGAAUAACACGAGGAAACUUGUGCUAAUACCUCAUAAGUCUUUACGGAGAAAGCUUUAUGCGCCAAUGGAUGAGCCUGCACUUGAUUAGUUUGUUGGUGGGGUAAUGGCCUACCAAGACUUUGAUCAAUAGCUGAUCUGAGAGGAUGAUCAGCCACAUUGGGACUGAGACACGGCCCAAACUCCUACGGGAGGCAGCAGUAGGGAAUAUUGCACAAUGGAGGAAACUCUGAUGCAGCGAUGCCGCGUGAGUGAAGAAGGCCUUUGGGUUGUAAAGCUCUUUCGUCGGGGAAGAAAAUGACUGUACCCGAAUAAGAAGGUCCGGCUAACUUCGUGCCAGCAGCCGCGGUAAUACGAAGGGACCUAGCGUAGUUCGGAAUUACUGGGCUUAAAGAGUUCGUAGGUGGUUAAAAAAGUUGGUUGUGAAAUCCCAGAGCUUAACUCUGGAACUGCAAUCAAAACUUUUUAGCUAGAGUAUGAUAGAGGAAAGCAGAAUUUCUAGUGUAGAGGUGAAAUUCGUAGAUAUUAGAAAGAAUACCAAUUGCGAAGGCAGCUUUCUGGAUCAUUACUGACGCUGAGGAACGAAAGCAUGGGUAGCGAAGAGGAUUAGAUACCCUCGUAGUCCAUGCCGUAAACGAUGUGUGUUAGACGUUGGAAAUUUAUUUUCAGUGUCGCAGCGAAAGCAUUAAACACACCGCCUGGGGAGUACGACCG
rnacentral:rRNA from 1 species